AUUGUUUAUCUAUUAUCCUGAGACCAAUGCUAUGCCUUCAAUGAUUAGAUUUUUUUUUUUCCCCUUGAAAAGUGGACUUCAGAUGGAGAAAAUAAACAUUGGCGAGCAAUUGCUUAAGGUGAAAUGGUUUCUCAUCAGAUUUCCUCUAAUGUAGAAUCAUAUGGCAGCACCUGGGUAAGAGAGAAGUUAUUAGAUAAUAGGAGUAACCCAUGACUGAGUCUUGGCAGGACACGGCACUACAAGUGAUACAAAUAAAUGAAAAAGAAAAGUAUGGACAAAAAGAUGUGUGGAAAGAGGAAGGAAGAGGAAAAAAAGAAAAGAAAAAUCAGUAAAGGGAAAGAAAGAAUGAAUGAAGGAGAAAAAACGAAUAAGAAGAAAACACAAUUGGUUUAGAGAAGAACAGUUUUGUGUUGUAGAAGAUAUCCAUUAACCAUCCUUGGAAUUAAAAGACCUGAAUUUAAAUCUCAUCUCUGUUGCUUACUUGAUGAAUAAUCUUGGAGAAGUAACUAAUCCUUUUUGAUGUCAC